GGAAGGUUAGUGCUCGUAAUCUCUGGCCAUGAAGCUGGCUGCCUGGGAGGACUUGGACUGGCGCCUGAUAACCCAGAAAGAGCCGAGAGAGAACAGAUGGGGACAGGCGGCAGCUGUUGAUCCAGUUCCCGUUCGGGACCCUCCCCUGUUGAGGAGCAUUCCAGGCGGGGACAAAUAUAAAAGUAUUUCGUGGCUUUGAAAAUUGUUCAAAAACCCUUACUCCAACUGAAGAGAAACUGCCCAGAAAUCUGUUUAGUUCUAUCCCCAGACUCUGCCUCCUAAAAUAGAGAGACUUCCUUCAUUUGGGUUUGCGUUUAAACAGGUUUCCUUACUGUUUAUGUGACCUAGGACAAUAAAACAUUCCUUAACUUCC